AGUGAACGCUGGCGGUAGGCCUAACACAUGCAAGUCGAACGGCAGCACAGUAAGAGCUUGCUCUUCCGGGUGGCGAGUGGCGGACGGGUGAGGAAUACAUCGGAAUCUACUUUUUCGUGGGGGAUAACGUAGGGAAACUUACGCUAAUACCGCAUACGACCUACGGUUGAAAGCAGGGGAUCUUCGGACCUUGCGCGAUUGAAUGAGCCGAUGUCGGAUUAGCUAGUUGGCGGGGUAAAGGCCCACCAAGGCGACGAUCCGUAGCUGGUCUGAGAGGAUGAUCAGCCACACUGGAACUGAGACACGGUCCAGACUCCUACGGGAGGCAGCAGUGGGGAAUAUUGGACAAUGGGCGCAAGCCUGAUCCAGCCAUACCGCGUGGGUGAAGAAGGCCUUCGGGUUGUAAAGCCCUUUUGUUGGGAAAGAAAAGCAGCAGGUUAAUACCCCGCUGUUCUGACGGUACCCAAAGAAUAAGCACCGGCUAACUUCGUG
rnacentral:rRNA from 1 species